rnacentral:lncRNA from 10 species
AGACUACACAGCUCCGAAGAAGCCAGUUCCCAACCAAGCCAGUGGAGAAAAGUCAGCCCGGUCCCCAGGAGUGCUUGAGGCUCUGUCACUCUUGGACGUCAAAAAGGGUCAUUUGAUGACUGGACGCUUACCUCACCGGUGUGAGGGAUCCUGAGGAUACAAAGCAACUAUAUGAACUAAAUUCCAAAGACUGACAAACUUCUUCAAGGAAAAAAAGGAACACUUAAAU